rnacentral:lncRNA from 1 species
AAUAAGGGAGGUUGAGGAACAAUAUGAUAUUAAUACUUAAUUGCAAACACCUGCCAAAAAUCAUGUUCAAAUUGAAGCUGAAAGUUGUAAGGGAAGAAAGAGAUUCAGUUGUUCCAGGGUACUUAUGAUACUCUUGUUGCUACAUAACCUUAAAUAGGAGUAUAUGGAGGUUGAAAAUUAGGGUAGAGGGAUAGAAAGUAAUUGAAGUUUGUCACAAGGUAGGCUUGGUGGGUACAUAGUGCUAACUUUAUUUUUGUGAUUUCUUGUUCUUCGACUGUUGCUACUACCUGUUGUUUCUUGUGCUUCAUUCCAUUAUUCUGCUCUAUAUGGUACUUUCUU